rnacentral:lncRNA from 1 species
UAACAUUCUAGCAAGUCUUAAUAUUGAUACAAAGAGAAUCAAGAGAAGAACUUCUUACACGCAAAUAUUACAAGAGAUCAGUCAGGUUUUGUGAUCUUUAGAAGAUCAUGGUAGCAACAUCUUACAACAUCUCCGAGAAAACACAAGAACAUAAGUCAAGUUUUGAUGAAGAGGAAACAAAGAGAAGGUGAUACAUAGCUAAAGACCAAACGAGAACUACUUAUACUACAUAAACUGAAAGAGAUGAACCCGUGACUUUCAGUACUCCUA